GAAAUGCGAUAAGUAAUGUGAAUUGCAGAAUUCCGUGAAUCAUCGAAUCUUUGAACGCACAUUGCGCCCCCUGGUAUUCCGGGGGGCAUGCCUGUCCGAGCGUCAUUUCAACCCUCAAGCACGGCUUGUGUGAUGGGCCCUGGCGUCUCGUUCGCGAGACGGGCCCGAAAGGCAGCGGCGGCGUCGACCCGAUGAGCCCGAGCGUAUGGGGACUUUUGUCACACGUUUGCGGUGCGGACCGGCGCCUGCUUGACUUUUCUGAUUAUCCAGGUUGACCUCGGAUCAGGUAGGGAUACCCGCUGAACUUAAGC
rnacentral:misc_RNA from 1 species